AUAAAUGAGAAUGAGAUUCGCAUUACCACUCAGGGCAGGAUGAGAAAUUAUAUUACCUAUGCCACCACUCUCCUCCAGGAGAAAGGGUCUAAUGAAAUCAUUCUUAAAGCCAUGGGCAGAGCUAUAAAUAAGACAGUGAUGAUUGCAGAGUUAAUUAAGAGAAGAAUUGUUGGUCUGCAUCAGAACACCUCAAUUGGAUCAACCGAUA
rnacentral:misc_RNA from 1 species